UGUGUGUGUGUGUGUACGCACGCACGCACUUCGGAUGGGGUAAAUGCAGAGCACGAUUUCUGAGUAUGGGUCACCAUACUUGGCUGAAUGUCAUGUCACUUUCACUAUUGUUAGCUAAAACAUGAACAUUAGAAAUAAACCAGAUUGUCAUAAUCACUUAAAUUUAAGCAUAUUUAUUAUUAAAUAUAAUAAUAAAUUGUUGAAUUCCUUUCAGUUUUACAACAGACAGCUAUUAUUUGCUGAUACCAUAUAAAAAUAAGAAUAUAAGAACAAUAAAAAUAUAAGAUCAUGGCAUUAAAAAGUAAAAAAAAAACAAAAAAAAAACAGACUUGCUGUAUGAGGCCUCAUUUUGGUUUGGAUGCUGCCUAUGUAGGCAGUAGAUUAUGAUUAUAAUACACUAGAGCUUUAUAAUUGGCUAUUUGGCUGUGGUCCGAAUCAUCUGUCUGUUCUAUUGAAACUGAUGUGAACUGUAGGAUCUGCUAACCUGUUUGUUUGCAGUGUUUAUUCCUGUAUGUGUUGUUGACUUAGCACCGUGACCUGACAAGCUCACAACACUCCCAAUAUGGCCCAUCUGGAUGUAAACACUGUAGCUCAAUACAUCUCUGUGUCUCAGUGGCAUUUCCUCUAAAUGAGCCGCUUUGAGUACCCAUAUGUUGCCCGGACACUAAUUUGCUAAAUAUAAAGAGCGAGAAGACGGGAGGCAGGCCUCUGUUAUCUGUGUUUGGCACAAGCCUGGUCCUGUUAAUGGCCGUCCAUGUUGCCUGGUGUUUGUGUGGAUGUUUCUAACCUAGCAACACUUCCAGUGGUUAUCUGAAGGUUACUGUGUGUGGAGGCCGUUCAAGCAUUUAAUUGCUUACAAAAGGUUGAGUGUUAUUUUGCUGGAGACACUCUCAGGUUUGUCAUGAGCUUUAGAUGAAACUUGAUGAAAUCCAUAUGGCAAUACCUCACUUUACAUAAGCGAAGUUAUCAUUUUCUACUUUUCAAACAUACUGUAGAUAUGAGUGUUUGUGGUUGUGAAACCCGUUAUUUUAAACUGUAAUAAAAUGUCAUGCUAUAGAGUGUUUUGUACCAUAGUAUAUUGUGUCAUGUUUACCAUGCAUACAGUAUAAUGUUUCACAGUAUAAAAUGCCAUGUUUGCUAAAACUUGAUGUGGUGUACAUUUUUCUUUCAGGCUCAGACGGUUGGGAUAAAAUCUCUGGAUGAUCAGGAGUAUCAUAUGGAAAAGCCCUUUAUGAUGGCCAUCGACGAACACUUAAAAAAACCCUUACCUUCGAUUCAACUCCCCCACACCAAAAUCUAAUCCGCAACGACCUACAUUAGUAGACUGUCAAAGGGGUGAAGAUGAAGUCAUCUAAAACCCAAACUAGUCAGUGGAUGAUGGUCCUGCCCUCAGUCUUCAGUCUCUGAGCUCCAUUUCCUGUUCAGCUCCACUGAUCCUGCCCAACCGCAGCAGCCUGGCUCUCCAGUGUGAGGUUACCUCAUUCCCAUGGCCAUCCCUUUAGGCCGCCGAAGAACUGCAUCCUGGUGAAGAUCAGGAGGAAAAUAUCUUUCCCAGAACCAGUUUCUCAGCUGAAGCCGACAUCAGCCAGGCACGGAUCAUCGCCAGCUCCUAAAAUGUCAUUCCUCUAAGUCUCCAGUGCCUCAGCUUUGGCUCGGUCAGUUCUGAUGGAACCAUAAACUUCAAACGGGCUCAGCGCCCGACUGGCAGAAUGCAUUUCUCUCUCUUUUUCCUCUGGCGGCCGGCCACUGGAAGUGAGCUAAUCGCUCCUUACACAGACCUCCCUGAGUCCUGGCCAAAGGAAUCUGAACAUUAUCCAAACCAAUGACCGAAAUGUUGAAAGCUGGCUCGCGGAUCCAGAGAUGGAAUUAUACAAGACAAACAUCCCCCUUUCUCUCCAGCCACCCUUUCUGUUAAGACUGUAAUGACCGCUGUGAAACUGCACACAGACUAACAUAUGUUUGUCAUUACCGCACAGUACACGGUGUGCGUUUUAUUUGCUGUCAUUUGUGUUGAAAAUGCAAUGUCUGAUCCAGUAAGCUGUCAGGGAUAUUUUUGCUGUAAUGGAUUGUCAGUAAGUCUCUCAGAAAGCCAUAUGUUUUAGUAUAAAUAUCAUAAAACCGUUGAGACUCUGAAUUCAGGAAACAAACAGUGUACUUCCAGACUCUCCUAUGGAGCUCAACGGGCAGCCGUCUCCUCCAGCUGCUCGGUAUCACGGCCUGGCGUUUCCUCCACAGCCUUCCCAGUGCACCCCUCUGACCGAGCACCAUCCGGCAGAGAGAAACCCUGGAGAACAGGCUGGUAGAUUGGUUGGAGCAACAGCUCAUGGCCAGAAUGAUCACUGGAAUAUUCCCUCAGCCCGUCCAGACUGAUCCAGCAGCCAGCCAAUCAGAGACAGAGAAUAGUGUGACAUCAGGCAUUGCUGAGAAUGGUUUAUUUCUAUGUUUA